GUGCCUUAAACUAAUGAGUAAGGAAAAUAUAGAGCUUUGGUAACGCUUAGCUAUGCUAAAAAAUUAAGCGACCAUAUUUUUGAAGAGGCACAGGUCGUCCCCAAUGGCCGCGCGAACUACUUUUUCGCGUAGCCGGGUGAAAGCGAUCUACCUC